rnacentral:rRNA from 1 species
CCUACGGGAGGCUGCAGUAGGGAAUAUUGCUCAAUGGGGGAAACCCUGAAGCAGCAACGCCGCGUGGAGGAUGAAGGUUUUCGGAUUGUAAACUCCUUUUGUUAGAGAAGAUAAUGACGGUAUCUAACGAAUAAGCACCGGCUAACUCCGUGCCAGCAGCCGCGGUAAUACGGAGGGUGCAAGCGUUACUCGGAAUUACUGGGCGUAAAGAGCGCGUAGGCGGGAUAGCAAGUCAGAUGUGAAAUGCUAUGGCUUAACCAUAGAACUGCAUUUGAAACUGUUAUUCUAGAGUAUGGGAGAGGUAGGUGGAAUUCUUGGUGUAGGGGUAAAAUGCGUAGAGAUCAAGAGGAAUACUGAUUGCGAAGGCGACCUGCUAGAACAUAACUGACGCUGAUGCGCGAAAGCGUGGGGAGCAAACAGGAUUAGAUACCCUAGUAGUC